rnacentral:rRNA from 1 species
AAUAAAUACGAGUGAAAUUUAUUAUUUGGAGUUAAAAUGUACAUUCAUUAAUUUAUAAUUAAAUUUAUUAGGUUAAAUUUUAAAUUUAAAAAAUUAUUAAAAAUGAGAUUAUUUGAAGCUCAGAAAUUUUAUAAAUAGACUAGGAUUAGAUACCCUAUUAUAAAAAAUGUAAUUUUUAAAAAUAGAGUAGUAGUAGCUAUGUUCUUAAAACUUAAUAAAUUUGGCGGUAUUUUAAUCUAUUCAGAGGAACUUGUUUUAUAAUUGAUAAUCCUCAUUAAAUCUUACUUAACUUAUUUAAUUUGUAUACCAUCGUCAUAAGAAUCUCUUAAAAAAGUAAUAAUUUUCUCGAUAAUUUAUUAAUUAGUAUGUCAGAUCAAGGUGCAGUUUAUAGUUAAGGAAAAAUGAGUUACAAUAAAAUUAUUUAUACGGAUUUUUACUUGAAAUAGUGAAAUAAAGGUGGAUUUGAUAGUAAAAUAAAUUACAGAGUUUAUUUGAUUUUAGUUCUAAAAUAUGCACAUAUCGCCCGUCGCUCUCGUUAUUUAAAAUGAG